UGACGGAGAUGAGCCCAGCGCUGAAUCACCGAUUGCGUCAAUUGAUGACCCGGUGAGCUGUAGCGUAUAGGUGCAGCUAUCCUGGUGUUUUGUGCGCUCAAAGUCCCCUUGAGCGGGGCCACCGUCCACAGAAGGUGCUAGACCUGUGCGGGCGACGAAUCACUGGGUGUGCUGUUCCUUGGAGUCGGGUUGCCUGAGAUCGCAGCCCAAAGUGGGUGGUAAACCUCAUCUAAGGCUAAAUAUGGCCACGAGACCGAUAGCAAACAAGUACCGUGAGGGAAAGUUGCAAAGAACUCUGAAGAGAGAGUUCAAGAGGGCGUGAAACCGCUGGGAUGGAAGCGAAUAGAGUCGACGAAACCUGUCUUCCAUCAUUCAACCGAUCAGCUCUGCGGUCUGUCACCGCGCUACCGUACGCAACACUGCGGAGUGUGUCGGUGGUGGUCACUGCUGAGUGGAGCUAGGCCUGUGUGAUCGGUGCAUUUGAUGGCGGUAUGCGCCGAGAGCCGCGUCACGGUGUGCGUCAACGUCUGCCUGGUGCAGUGGACCGUUGUACGUCUUCGGACGGGCGGAAACCUGCAUUCGACCGAGGCGCAUCACAGAUGCGGUGAACAGCCGUGUACAGCAGUCCCCAGGCGCUUGCCCGCGCCUUGCGACUGUCGGCCUGACCGUGUGGCGGUGCGUACUGCGAGUGCUUCGCGGCGCGCAGUGCGUCCGUUUGCGGUCUGGCCACGGUCGUUUUGUGUGCGUUGGGACUGUGUCUCGGUGUGAGUGUCGAUCACCUGUUCGACCCGUCUUGAAACACGGACCAAGGAGUCUAGCAUAUGCGCAAGUUAUUGGGUGGUAAACCCGGAGAAAACGCAAUGAAAGUGAAAUCGGCCGUUCUGACGGUCGCAAACUGUGAGCCAGUCGACUCCGUCGGGCGCAACAGUGCCCCGUCUCGGUUGCCGUUGGCAACGGGGCGGAGGUAGAGCGUGUAUGCUGGGACCCGAAAGAUGGUGAACUAUGCCUGAGCAGGAUGAAGCCAGAGGAAACUCUGGUGGAGGUCCGAAGCGAUUCUGACGUGCAAAUCGAUCGUCUGACUUGGGUAUAGGGGCGAAAGACUAAUCGAACCA
rnacentral:rRNA from 1 species